rnacentral:ncRNA from 2 species
CAAGAAACAAAACUCCGAACUUGAAUUUCUAAGGCGAAAGCUAUGAAUUCAAGCCUGAAUGUUUCACGACAUUCACAGGGUACUGCUGGAAACGGCAUUGCCUUCCGUUAUUAGAAGGAGAUAUUUUAUCAAAGCA